rnacentral:rRNA from 1 species
CCUACGGGAGACAGCAGUGAGGAAUAUUGGUCAAUGGGCGGGAGCCUGAACCAGCCAAGUCGCGUGAGGGAAGACGGUCCUAUGGAUUGUAAACCUCUUUAGGCGGGGAGCAAUGCCGGGCACGUGUGCCCGGAGGGAGAGUACCCGCAGAAUAAGCAUCGGCUAACUCCGUGCCAGCAGCCGCGGUAAUACGGAGGAUGCGAGCGGUAUCCGGAUUUAUGGGGUUUAAUGGGUGCGUAGGCGGAUGUUUAAGUCAGCGGUAAAAUGUCCGGGCUCAACCCGGGCCGGCCGUUGAAACUGGGGAUCUUGAGUGGGCGAGAAGUAUGCGGAAUGCGUGGUGUAGCGGUGAAAUGCAUAGAUAUCACGCAGAACUCCGAUUGCGAAGGCAGCAUACCGGCGCCCGACUGACGCUGAGGCACGAAAGCGUGGGGAUCGAACAGGAUUAGAUACCCCUGUAGUC